CUGGUCCAGUGUCAGCAGGUAGGAGGGUGACCAAUGAGGCCACUGGAGGAAUUCAAGCAGAUGACUGACAUAAUCUGAUUUUCAUUUGUGUCACUGCAUUGAGAGAAGAUUAGCAGGUAAUCAUAACAGUUUUUCCUGUGUAAGUGUCAUACAUGCCUCAUUGGGGAGGGGAAAUAGCACUGUGGAUUGGCUUCUAAGUUCAAAUCACACCUGUGCCACCUACUAGUUGUGUGACCUUGAAGAGGUAGGUUCAGUCUCUCCAUCCAACAGAGCCACCAAGCAGCAAUUGGCUGCUGGAGGAGAAACACAGUACAGCCACAUGGGGGCGCUCCUUCCUCUGGGAAGCGUUUCAAUGGGCAACGUUGAGUUCAGAGAGGACCUACCAGUGCAGGUUGAAAGGUUCAGAAGUUUGGAAGCAAGAAGGCAAUCAGCUUUCCCAUCCAGACCAAAAGUUUCAUACCCACUUUUUCCAUGAACCAAAGGGCACAGGGUGAACAGCCUGGCAUUCAGCAGCCCUCCCCGGGAAGUCCUGGCCAGAAAGGGGCAGGCUGGGGAACCGCAUUACCUGGUUUCUGAUGGAGCCACGACAGGAAGUUUAUAUGCCAAGGUGAUCAGAGCAGUGGCUGUGAAAGAUGCCAAGAACAGCAUGGCCCCAAGGAGGAUGAGGAUCUGUGUACUCCUGCAAAGAAGAGAGGAUACGGAGAGGAGUGCCCUUCAGUUUCUUGCCCCACACAUGCGCUUCCUAUGGCACGAAAGGCUGGAAAUCCUGACCAUCAGAGGUGGAAAGAACAUGUUCAUUUAGAACCAGGGCUUGGCUCCAGAUGAUGUUUUGUGGAGAACCCCAGAGUUCCCAUGGAUGAUUGACAUGGUCAAAAUGAGUUCCACAGACAGUCCAUGCUUGUGCCAGAUGAGAUGGUUACCAGUAUUUUUUUCGUCAAUGUGAGGAAGCGCCUGGGGGCAAUUCUCUCCAAAGGGCCCUGGCACCUCUGCUUUCAAGGAUCUAAGGUGGGCUCUACCUCAAAAAGGCCACUGGCUGGUAUCCUUGCCACUGCUUCCUGCAAGUGGCCCAAAUCAGUUUGCAUCAGGGAAAACAGCCCAGAUUAUCCCCUGGGUACCCCAUCACAGACAAGCGGGCCCUACCUGCAGGCAGGUAGCUGGUGAUGCAAGCCUGUCCAUAUGGCUGGGCCUUUGCAAAUGGAAGGCAGCCAUCUAGUUAGUCAGUUGUUACGUGCAAAGAUUAGGGCCCUGCCACGCUUUAGCGAUUCCCUUUUCAGCCUUGAUUUCAAGGCAUAUGUGGAAUUGGUGAUAUAAUUUCAUUACAGCUAUUUCACUUUCACUUGCUUCAAAUGCAUUACGAGGAAACUGGGGCUUUGGAGAAGCCAAGACGCACAUAGAUCUUGUUGCUCCAAAGCAACAAGAUCUUUGAACUUGAGUAGAAUUCCACAUAGUAAGGGUGUGAUGCGAUGUCCCAUUGCAGUAGAGACUCAACAGGCGGAGGUGAAUAAUUUGUCCUUUCCCGGUUGGGCAACAUGGGCUGGCACAAGAACAGUGAUGGGGCAGGGUCAGCUGCCUCCGGGACAUGUGCCAGGAUGACUGGCCCCUUGUUGGCCAAUGCUAUGCUCCCCUCCCUCUGCUGUUCACAGCGGCUGCCCUCUGCAUAGCCUGGUACGGUUACACCAACUGCAUGGCAAGAAGCCAUCCCCCACUCACACAGCCCACCUUCCUACAGCAUCACCAGUACUCCAGAGAAAAUACCAGAAUCAGGUUGGCCCUUGGAAAGUUCACCACACUGCUUGAAGAAAUGAGACUCCAGGUUUGCACCCUUCUGCCUUUUCAAAGCCAGCAACUUGAGACUCACCGCAUUCUUGACCGACACAAAGUUAUUUAGCAACAGCAGAUUCGUCCACCAUGCUUGCCGGCAGUUAUCCCAGUGGAAUUUGGGCAUUUCCCAGACAGGUCCCCAGGGAACAAGAGAGAACAGUCCAACCAACAAGCACAUUGAAUACAGGUGAAGAGGCUGCAACCUGGCAGGAGAGAACCGAGAGAAAGAAGGUGACUUUCCACCGGGGUCCCUCCAGUCAUCUCAGUGGGCACGUGGCGGGUGGGGCAUAAGGUGCUCUAAAACAGAUUGUUUGUACCGUGGGCAGCUGCCACCCAGCCACACCUCAAACGUUCAAGCAUCCACGAGUUCCAGAUCACUUACUGAGCACCUAUCAUGUACUGGCUCAGGUGCUACUGCUGCAAAAAUACUGCUAUUUAUUUCUCUUUUUUUAAGAGACAGGGUCUCACUCACUACGGCCCUGACUUCCACCUCCUGGGCUCAAGCGAUCCUCUCACCUCAACCUCCCAAUUAGCUAGAACUGCAGGCGCAUGCCACCAUGUUCCACUAAAAAUACUGUUAUUUAUUGAGCAAGUCAUAUAGGCCAACCACUGUGGGAGGAGCCUGCUAGAGAUUUCUAAACCUCAAAACAAUCCUGCAAGGUAGCUAUGACCUCCAUUUUAUGAAGAAAUUAUAGCUAAGAGAAGAUAGGGUGACUUGCCCAAGGUCACCAACCACAUAGCAGUACCAAGAUCUGACACUGGUUCAUGUUCUUUCCACAUGGCCUCACACGAUGAAAAACUCUUUCUUCCUUCCCUCCCUCACUUGCUUCAUUUCUCCCUUCCUUCACGCCCUACCUCCUCCAAGCAAGAUCUGAAGCAGCUACAAAGGGGAAGAAUCAGGAGUAAGGUGUCUAGACCAGCGCUGUUCAACAGAAACAGGAUGCAAGCACAGCUGCCCCCAGUUUUACACUUUCCAGCAGCCACAAUUUAAAAGAGAUGAGCAAAUGCAAGCACAGAAAGACUGAGAGAGACACUUAACUCAAGGUCACACCGCUGCUAUGUGAUUGAGCCAGAAUACACGCUCAGCAGUCCAACUACAGAGUCUGCACUUGCCCACUGCAUUUCACUAGUCCCAAAGAUUAUGACAACACUCCUCUUCCUAUUUUGUGACAGUGUGGUAUAACAAGAUGAACGUGAACCAGGAGUCAGGAGUGCUGGCUUCCAGCUCAGCAAAUAACCACGACAUAGAAAAUAUAUCAAUGGCAGGGUUGGAUGACAUGAGCUGAAGUUUCCUUUUCUCCCUUAACUUUGUUGUUUUUUUUGUUUGUUUGUUUUGAGACAGGGUCUCACUCUGUUGCCCACGCUGGAGUGCAGUGGCAGGAUCUUGGCUCACUGCAACCUCCACCUCCGGAGUUCAAGUGAUUCUCCCACCUCAACUUCCCGAGUAGCUGGGAUUACAGUCGUGUGCCACCACGCUCAGCUAAUCAUUUGUAUUUUUGGUAGAGAAAGGGUUUCACCAUGUUAGCCAGGCUGGUCUCAAACUCCUCACCUCAAGUGAUAUGCCCCCCUCAGCCUCCCAAGGGCCUCCCCAAAACGCCUGAGAUUACAGGCAUGAGCCACUGUGCCCAGCCCUUCCUCCCUUAACUUUGGUUGUCUCAUUCUGUCACUGCCACUCUGCUACCACCGAUUCCGUAUUCUGCCCCAGUGUUGGAAUCCCUUCUGCAUCAACCAACCACACAUUCCUAAAGGAGACCGUCAGCUAGGCACGGUGGCUCACGCCUGCAAUCCCAGGACUUUGGGAGGCCGAGACAGGCAGAUCACGAGGUCAGGAGUUCAAGACCAGCCUGGCCAACAUAGUGAAACCCCGUCUCUACUAAAAAUACAAAAAAAAAUCAAAUCAAAUAUUAGCCAGUCAUGGUGGCGGGCGCCUGUAAUCCCACCUACUCAGGAGGCUGAGGCAGGAGAAUUGCUUGAACCCAGCAGGCAGAGGUUGAAGUGAGCAGAGAUGGCGUCACUGCACUCCAGCCUGGGUCACAGUGCGAGACUCUGUCUCAAAAACAAAAAAAAAAAAAAAAAAAAAAGGAGAUCGUCAUUCUUCCUGCCUCCCUCCCAGCAGAAUGGCCAUGGCCCAGAGCUUCAACCAAGUUCCUUUCCUGGUCACGUACUGUUUUAUUUUUAUCAUUACCAUUAGCACUCUGAUUUAUAGGAUCCAAUUACUACUAAUUUGCAGACAAACAAAUUUUCCUGUUGAAUACAGAUUCCAUGGAAAUCUGACAGUGCAUUUAUUGAACUCUGCUGCCCAUCAGCUGAGGACUAAGGAUGUUUUUGCCAGUGGAACAUACCAGUUUUCAUGGUAUUUGUCCCAGUAGAAUUUGAUCCAUAUUAAACCAGCUUAAAUCAACUGUAUUUAGGGAAGAAAACUAUUUCUUUCAGUUUAUUUUUCUUUGGAAAUUCUUUGAAAAGAGGGUUAAAGACAGAAAACUAAUAAAUCGUUACAUAGCAAUGAGGAAUUGAGAAAUUAAGUAAAUAAACCUACUGUCAGGCCUCUGAGCCCAAGCUAAGCCAUCAUAUCCCCUGUGACCUGCACAUAUACAUCCAGAUGGCCUGAAGCAACUGAAGAUCCACAAAAGAAGUGAAAAUAGCCUUAACUGAUGACGUUCCACCAUUGUGAUUUGUUUCUGCCCCACCCUAACUGAUCAAUGUACUUUGUAAUCUCCCCCACCCUUAAGAAGUUUCUUUGUAAUUCUCCCCACCCUUGAGAAUGUACUUUGUGAGAUCCACCCACUGCCCCCCGCAAAACAUUGCUCCUAACUCCACCGCCUAUACCAAAACCUAUAAGAACUAAUGAAAAGCCCACCACCCUUUGCUGACUCUCUUUUCGGACUCAGCCCACCUGCACCCAGGUGAAAUAAACAGCCUUGUUGCUUGCACAAAGCCUGUCUGGUGGUCUCUUCACACGGACACACGUGACACCUACCUUACCAGGUGACUGAGAAAGUAUCUGAGUAUGCCUUUGGGGGUUAUUCCUUUGUCUGAAUUCUGAUGCAUCUUUAAAAACGAACUUGCACUUAACCAACCACUAAAAGAAAAAGAAGAAUUGUCG
rnacentral:lncRNA from 10 species